rnacentral:rRNA from 1 species
GGGUGAGUAAUACAUCGGAACAUGUCCAGGAGUGGGGGAAGGGGGGGCGAAAGCCGGAGUAAUACCGCAUACGAUCCAUGGAGGAAAGCGGGGGACCUUUGGGCCUCGCGCUAUUGGGGUGGCCGAUGGCAGAUUAGCUUGUUGGUGGGGUAAAGGCUCACCAAGGCGACGAUCCGUAGCUGGUCUGAGAGGACGACCAGCCACACUGGGACUGAGACACGGCCCAGACUCCUACGGGAGGCAGCAGUGGGGAAUUUUGGACAAUGGGGGCAACCCUGAUCCAGCAAUGCCGCGUGUGUGAAGAAGGCCUUCGGGUUGUAAAGCACUUUUGUCCGGAAAGAAAACCUUUGGGCUAAUACCCCGGGGGGAUGACGGUACCGGGAAGAAUAAGCACCGGCUAACUACGUGCCAGCAGCCGCGGUAAUACGUAGGGUACAAGCGUUAAUCGGAAUUACUGGGCGUAAAGCGUGCGCAAGCGGUGAUGUAAGACUCGAUGUGAAAUCCCCGGGCUUAAACCUGGGAAACUGCAUUGGUGACUGC